rnacentral:lncRNA from 1 species
UCCGAACAUGGUCCAAGAAAACGUGAUAAGAGAAGGGUGGUAAUUUAAUGGAGGACUACACAACCAUUGCUCCGUUGCCCGAGAAUUCAAGGUGACAAGGAUUAUUCGAGAGCCGCUGAACUUUCUUAUAAAAAGCCAACGAACAUCACGAGGUUGAGUGAGCAACGAGUCACGACCCGGAUCAAGUAAAAAGAAGAUAGAAG